CCCCUAGACGUUCUGGGCUGCACGCGCGCUACAAUAAUACGCACAGCGAGUAUCACCGAGCUCGAAAGGGCAAGGUAAACAAUAGAAAAGGUACUGUAAUGGUUAUAGAUCCUUGUAAUUAUUGAUCUUCAACGAGGAAUUCCUAGUAAGUAUGUGUCAUCAUCACGCACUGAUUACGUCCCUGCCCUUUGUACACACCGCCCGUCGCUCCUACCGAUUGAGUGGUCCGGUGAGGCUUUGGGAUCUGAGCGGAAAGAGUGUUUCGCUGUUUCUGCUCGGAAAACUCAGUCGAACCUUAUCAUUUAGAGGAAGGAGAAGUCGUAACA
rnacentral:rRNA from 1 species